CGGACCGGCGCACGGGUGAGUAACGCGUGGGUAACCUGCCUCAUACAGGGGGAUAACAGUUAGAAAUGACUGCUAAUACCGCAUAAGACCACAGCACCGCAUGGUGCAGGGGUAAAAACUCCGGUGGUAUGAGAUGGACCCGCGUCUGAUUAGGUAGUUGGUGGGGUAACGGCCUACCAAGCCGACGAUCAGUAGCCGACCUGAGAGGGUGACCGGCCACAUUGGGACUGAGACACGGCCCAA
rnacentral:rRNA from 1 species